rnacentral:rRNA from 1 species
CCUACGGGUGGCAGCAGUGGGGAAUAUUGGGCAAUGGGCGCAAGCCUGACCCAGCAACGCCGCGUGAAGGAAGAAGGCUUUCGGGUUGUAAACUUCUUUUCUCAGGGACGAAGAAAGUGACGGUACCUGAGGAAUAAGCCACGGCUAACUACGUGCCAGCAGCCGCGGUAAUACGUAGGUGGAAAGCGUUAUCCGGAUGUAGUGGGGGUAAAGGGCGUGUAGGCGGGAGCGCAAGUCAGAUGUGAAAACUCAGGGCUCAACCUGGGGACUGCAUUUGAAACUGUGUUUCUUGAGUGUUGGAGAGGCAAGUGGAAUUCCGGGUGUAGCGGUGAAAUGCGUAGAUAUAUGGAGGAACACCAGUGGCGAAGGCGGAUUGCUGGACAGUAACUGACGCUGAGGCGCGAAAGCGUGGGGAGCAAACAGGAUUAGAUACCCUUGUAGUC